rnacentral:rRNA from 1 species
AGUGAACGCUGGCGGUAGGCCUAACACAUGCAAGUCGAACGGCAGCACAGUAAGAGCUUGCUCUUACGGGUGGCGAGUAGCGGACGGGUGAGGAAUACAUCGGAAUCUACUUUUUCGUGGGGGAUAACGUAGGGAAACUUACGCUAAUACCGCAUACGACCUACGGGUGAAAGCAGGGGAUCUUCGGACCUUGCGCGAUUGAAUGAGCCGAUGUCGGAUUAGCUAGUUGGCGGGGUAAAGGCCCACCAAGGCGACGAUCCGUAGCUGGUCUGAGAGGAUGAUCGGCCAAACUGGACCUAGGACACGGUCCGGCCUCUACGGGAGGCAGCAGUGGGGAAUAUUGGACAAUGGGCGCAAGCCUGAUCCAGCCAUACCGCGUGGGUGAAGAAGGCCUUCGGGUUGUAAAGCCCUUUUGUUGGGAAAGAAAAGCAGCAGGUUAAUACCCCGCUGUUCUGACGGUACCCAAAGAAUAAGCACCGGCUAACUUCGUG